rnacentral:rRNA from 1 species
GACGAACGCUGGCGGCGGGCUUAACACAUGCAAGUCGAACGGAAAGGCCCUGCUUUUGAGGGAUUUUCGAGCGGCGAACAGGUGAGUAACAAGUGAGUAACCUACCCUUGCCUUUGGGAUAACUUCAGGGGACUGGGGCUAAUACCGAAUAGGUGCUCCUGCUGCAUGGCGUGGGUUUGUUAGUUAGGGCGGGUGGGGAUGGACUCGCGGCUUAUCAGCUUGUUGGGGGGGUAGUGGAUAACCAAGGCUUGGCCGGGUAGCCGUCCUGAGAGGGUGACCGGCCAAAGUGGGACAGAGCUACGGCCCGGACUCGUACGGGAGGCAGCGGUGGGGAAUAUUGCACGAUGGGGGGAAGCCUGAUGCAGCAAGGACGCGUGCUGGAUUAUGGCCUUCGGUUUGUAGACCGCUUUCGCCUGUGAUGUUGCGUGGGUGACGGUAAUGGGUAAAGAAGCACCGGCUAACUACGUG